CUCCAGUCAUUAACUGUGCUAUGAGGACAUUCUGGUGAGGUGGUGUUACUCCAGAUGAUGUCUUCAAUGCAGUUUCUUUGUGGGUGACAAAUUCACCAUUCCCUACUUCUUGGAAGCAGCCAGCAGGUGGGAGUAAAAAGCAACUGUUUUCCUCACCCUUUAUAACCCAGUUAAGAAUUUGACUGACAGAAUGUUGGCACCAGCUGUGGCAGA
rnacentral:lncRNA from 1 species